GCGCCCGUAGUUCAUUGGUAGAACGCGACUCUUAUAAAGUCGAUGUACUUGGUUCGAUUCCAAGCGGGCGCACAA
rnacentral:tRNA from 1 species